rnacentral:lncRNA from 1 species
CUUCAUAUUUACUAAUUGGCAAAAUGCAACUAUAUUUUGCUUAGACACCUGAUCCUGGCAGUAAUCUUGUUGUUUGCUGAUGAUUUAACAAGGAAUUAGAAUUCUAAACAGCUGUAAAACAUACUCAGAAAUAUUUGCCCUUGACCAAAUCACAGCUUUGAGUUUAUUUUUAAUCCCUGUAAAAGAGAUUUGAUAAACCACAGAAAUUGGCUAUGAGUUUUGCACCUGCCAUGACUUACUAUUUGAGAUUUGUCUUUCUACUGUUGUAAGAUAUCAAGUGUAUUUAUGCCAGUUUACAUAGUGCAGUCUGUUCCCUUAACUGCCUCAGUAUAAAGUACCUGUAGCUUUUAAAUUUAGUGACUUUCAGAACACUUUAAAAGAAUACAUCUUGAAAGCAGAGAGAAAAUCAACAGUGUAUUGUAUUAUUUUGAUGUAACUGGAGAAGCUGCCUGCAGACCAAGUAUCAUCAGCUGUUCCCUUUCAGUACAAAUGAAGUGAGACAACUUGUCCUUGGGAUCUUGAAAGUCUCAACUCUUUGUUUGUGUUUACAGAACAUAGUUUUCCCAUGGAAAAUAAUAAAUUGGGGAAUGAUGUCUAGUCUUACAGUAAUCUUGUGAACUUCACAGCUAUACUGGUUUUACUGCACUCUGUGAGCCCCAACCAUGCUAAUGAGCCUUAAUUUCCUAGUGUGGUCCCACCUGAGACUACCACCCCACCCCACACACCCUGCCCGUAGGACAAAAGCUCAGGUUGUGCAGGUGAAAUCUGGAAAACAACUGGUGAUCAGGGGAUUUAAGAUAAGCGGAGGUGAGCAGGUACAGCAGGUUUCUGUUUUCCUUUCUUAACCAUAUGCAUUUUGAAAAUACUAAUACUUAACUAAUCUCUAGAGCCCAAAGACGUUCUUGGGUUUACACAGGGAGUUGCUGCAAGGGGGUACUGCCCUAUGUGUGGGUUGGAGGUGAGGGUGGACUGCUGGCUGCAGCUGACCAAGGCUGUUCUGCACAGCUGGGUCAGAGAUGAAGCUGCAAUGAGAAGGAAAGGUGCUUUUCUUACUCUGUGGGAGUUCUG